GAGGCAAAAGUGAAAACAAAACGUCAGUUUUCCCGUUUUUCUUUCCUGGCGGUCGUCAACAGUGUUCGCGCUGGGGGUGGGAAAAUUGAGUGAAAAUCGUGAAAACUCGUCGUGCGCAUUGAUUUUCCUUCCGAAAGGAUACCUAGGUGGCGUCGUGUCUAAUCGCUGGUUAGCUAUCGCAGAACAACCAUCGUUUUGUUGCAGCAGCCUCGAAAAAAAAAUUGCUCACCAUUUCGGAGUCUUAUCGUCGCGGAUUUGCGUUCCCGGGAAAGUGUUGAUUGCAAAGUGUCCAAAGUGCAAUACAUUUCAAGCUAAAAUUGGUCACGAUCAGGUGUUAUUUUCGGGAAUUUAUAUAGGUAAAAGGUGAAUUUUCCUUCCUGCCAAAGGAAGCCAUCAUAAUAUCGAUUUUUCGCUGUUUGCAAAGUUUUGGACCGUGAACGGAAAAUUUGGUGCAACCCUUGGAAGGAUUUAAGAAAUUUGGUGAUCAAUUCUUGCUGCUGAAGUUGUAAUCCACGUCUGAAACGAUGGCGGUUAUGAUGAAAGCGACCAAGUGUCCUACGGACGAGUUGUCCCUGAAGAACAGGGCCAUCGUCAACAGCACGGACUUUCCGGAGGAUAUCAAGUAUGUUGAUGUGUCCACUGCUCCUGGACAGCAUUUUAUUUUCUCGGUCGAACGAUGCCCGGACAUUCCCAACUAUUGUAUCGGCUUUUCCCUACUUCAACGAAAGUGGGCAACUUUGUCAAUUAAUCAGGACAUAUCUGUGAAACCUUACUUUUUCGAUCGUUCUUCUGAAGUAUUGUGCAAUGUUAGUAUCGAAGUGGAUUUCUUGCAGAAGAAAACAACCACCCUAGAGCCAUAUGAUAGUGAUCAGAUGGCAAAAGAUUUUGUUCUACAAUUCUCCGGUCUUGCGUUGACAGUUGGCCAACCGCUGGUCUUCAGUUUCCAGGACAAAAAGUUGCUUGGUCUGUGCAUCAAAUCGCUGGAAGCAAUCGAUGCCAGCGCCUCCGUGCAAGGUGACAAAAAGCAGGAACCGAAGAGGACCAAUUUCGGCCGGCUGCUUGGCAACACGUCGGUUACCUUCGAGAAGGCAGAAAACUCCUCGCUGAAUUUGGUCGGAAAGGCCAAGGGCAAGAUUGUGCGCCAAUCGAUCAUCAACCCGGAUUGGGACUUUGGAAAAAUGGGCAUCGGUGGUUUGGACAAGGAGUUCAAUGCCAUCUUCCGGCGAGCGUUUGCCUCUCGAGUUUUCCCACCGGAAAUCGUGGAGCAACUGGGCUGUAAGCACGUGAAAGGUAUCCUGUUGUAUGGUCCUCCCGGUACCGGUAAGACGCUGAUGGCUCGCCAAAUCGGUACGAUGUUGAACGCUCGGGAACCGAAAAUUGUGAACGGUCCACAGAUUUUGGACAAAUAUGUCGGUGAGUCGGAAGCCAACAUUCGACGAUUGUUUGCCGAAGCAGAGGAAGAGGAGAAAAGACUUGGCCCCAACAGUGGAUUGCAUAUCAUCAUUUUCGACGAAAUCGAUGCCAUUUGUAAGGCUCGAGGAAGUGUCGGUGGCAAUAGCGGUGUACAUGAUACUGUGGUGAACCAGUUACUGGCCAAGAUCGAUGGUGUUGAGCAGCUGAACAACAUUUUGGUCAUUGGUAUGACCAACAGACGGGAUAUGAUUGACGAGGCUUUGCUGCGUCCAGGUCGAUUGGAAGUGCAGAUGGAAAUCAGUCUUCCCAACGAGGAAGGUCGAGUCCAGAUUUUGAACAUCCACACCAAGCGCAUGAGGGAGUUCAAGAAGAUCAACCCAGAUGUAGACAAUAAGGAAUUAGCAGCCCUAACGAAGAACUUCAGCGGUGCUGAGUUAGAGGGUUUAGUGAGAGCUGCUCAAUCAACUGCUAUGAAUCGUCUUAUUAAAGCUGCAUCGAAGGUAGAAGUUGACCCAGAGGCUAUAGAGAAGCUGAUGGUCAACAGAAGUGAUUUCUUGAACGCACUGGAGAACGACAUUAAGCCGGCAUUCGGCACUGCUCAAGAAGCACUGGAGAAUUAUCUCAUUCGUGGUAUCCUCAAUUGGGGACUUCCGGUGGCCCACGUCCUGGAGGACGGUGCUCUAUACACGCAACAGGCUCGCGCCGCCGAAAGUUCUGGUUUGGUAUCUAUCCUACUGGAAGGUCCUCCAAACUCCGGAAAAACAGCGCUGGCCGCUCAGUUGGCAAAGAUGUCCGACUUCCCGUUCGUGAAAGUGUGCACCCCGGACGAUAUGGUCGGCUUCACGGAGAACGCUAAAUGUCUACAGAUCAGAAAGUACUUCGACGAUGCUUAUCGUUCGACGUUGAGUUGCAUUUUGGUGGAUAACAUUGAAAGACUUUUGGACUACGGUCCCAUUGGACCGAGAUAUUCCAAUCUCACGUUACAAGCUCUGCUUGUUCUGUUGAAAAAGCAACCUCCGAGGGGAAAGAAACUACUCAUUCUUUGCACAACCAGCCGGAGGCAAGUUUUGGAAGAUAUGGAAAUGCUAUCGGCGUUUACUGCUGUUCUGCACGUGCCGAAUCUCUCACAGCCGGAACACAUCUUAUCAGUAUUGGAACAGGAACAGGAUGUGUUCUCCAAGCAAGAUCUCUCUACCAUCUAUAAGAGGAUGAAGGGUCACAAAAUAUUCGUUGGCAUCAAAAAACUUCUAGAUCUGGUAGAUCUUACCAGGCAGACCGACCCAACGCAACGCGUGAACAAAUUCCUUUCCAAACUGGAAGAAGAAGGAGCGCUCGAUGCUGGAACUUCCAUCCAUUAACUUAUAACCGGAGGGUAGCUAUGGGAUCUAAGUAUUAUCUCUUUCAACGACGUAUUUUAAGGACAUGCGAAGAAGGGACACCAAAGGCGCAAGAAGCAUAUUACAACUAUAUAUAUAUCUCUAUAUAAUAGUUUCAUUCUAACAGUAAUGAGUGUUAAUUGCAACGUAACUGCGGCACGUUGCUCUGAAAAUGCUAUCAAUUAUAUACAGCUUGACUGUUCUUCUUUACACAAACACAAAGAGAGUAUAUUUAGGAUAUUUACAUGGUUUUCUUCUACGCUAAGAUUAUUGCUCUAGCGAGUUCUAUUAGCUGGUCGUUCUUAGGAGCAAAGCAGAACGAUACACAGAAAUGCUGUAGUGUUGCAUUUUCAAUAAUCUUAGAUAGCUAUACAAAACCAAUUUCGUUGAGUGCGCCUAUGUUUCAGUUGUCCCUUGCGUUCCUGUUUCUUGGAGAUAGCUCACUCUUCAUAAUGGUUUAACUGGCAUCGGCUUUUUUUGGAAUAUGCUAAACAUGAAGAAAGCUUUUUGACUUCCAUUUAUUUUAGAAGUUUUCCCUAUAAAGUACAUUCUUGACUCGACAAUGCAUACAAAACAAGCUCCAAGCUAUGGAAGACGUCUAUCCCGCACAUUUAACAAGAUUUCAAAUAUUUGUUGAUGUUACCAUCCUUAUUUGGACGGCUUCUUCCAAGAUGCAUUAUCAAUCUUCAGAAGGAUCUCAGCGGAAAAGAUAAAAACUCGUGUACUGCAAUGUUUGUUAACUGAUGAUUAAUACAUAUUUUGUUUAUAAACUGUUAUGUAAUCGACGGAUUGUUCAAGUGACGAGUGAGCCUGCAUUUAGCUUGUUAUUGAUGUGCUUCAAUUUCCGUUAUUUAUUUGUAAAGAUUAGCGUUAAGAGAUCAAAAUUUAGCUGUGAAUCAUCGAUACGUUUGAUGAUUAGCACCUUAGUUACCCUUCGCAAUUCGUGGAUAAUUGGAGAACAUUGCAGAUCGGUGAUAAAAUCAUUUAUUAAGUAACACCCUUAAAGAUAGCCUAACAGCGAUAGGAAUUUCUUUCACACUUUGAUUCGACUCGACACGUUUGUUGUAGAAAUAAUAGGUAAAGCAAUAUACAGAACGUUCGACUGAAACAUCGUUGAAGGUGAAUAACAAAAGUGUACAGGUGAUAUAGCGAUUAGAUUUUGUUGAGCUAUUCAAUACCUUUAGCUGACAUCCACAUUCCAUAUCUAGGGCUUGCUAUGUGUUGAACAGUAGUUCAUGAAGGAGGUUAUUUGAUGAUGGUGUUGAUAUUCCCUAAUAGUAAAAUUUUGUCCUUUAUUAGUGCUUGCUAUCUUAACGGCUUCCCAACAAGGUUUCCUUGAACAAUCAACAAAUAGAGAUGCAAGAAAACAUUUUUUUAAAGAUAAACGAUUUUAUCGUCGAUUUGUUGGAUGUUCUAGAAAAAAAACUUUGGUUUAUUUCAAUAUACAGCUUGCCCUAGCUGAGCUAUGUAGGUAUCAUGUUGAUUUUUUUUUAAAUUCUAGCAAUAUUCUUUCAAAAAGAUAACUUGUAUUACUAUAUUUGUGUAUAGAUAUUUUGAAACAAACGACCGUCAGUGGAGAAUGGAUACAAAACAACAUGUUUAAGUAAUUAUUCAGUUUAGGAAUGAUAAUCAGAUAUUGUAAAUUAAACCUGUUACAACAACUACA